rnacentral:rRNA from 1 species
GACGAACGCUGGCGGCGUGCUUAACACAUGCAAGUCGAACGGAAAGGCCCUGCUUUUGUGGGGUGCUCGAGUGGCGAACGGGUGAGUAACACGUGAGUAACCUGCCCUUGACUUUGGGAUAACUUCAGGAAACUGGGGCUAAUACCGGAUAGGAGCUCCUGCUGCAUGGCGGGGGUUGGAAAGUUUCGGCGGUUGGGGAUGGACUCGCGGCUUAUCAGCUUGUUGGUGGGGUAGUGGCUUACCAAGGCUUUGACGGGUAGCCGGCCUGAGAGGGCGACCGGCCACAUUGGGACUGAGAUACGGCCCAGACUCCUACGGGAGGCAGCAGUGGGGAAUAUUGCACAAUGGGCGGAAGCCUGAUGCAGCAACGCCGCGUGCGGGAUGACGGCCUUCGGGUUGUAAACCGCUUUCGCCUGUGACGAAGCGUGAGUGACGGUAAUGGGUAAAGAAGCACCAGCUAACUACGUG